AAACCAGCACCUCAAGUGGUCAGGAUGAUUAUUGGGCCUAAAGCAUCCGUAGCCGGCUCUGUAAGUUUUCGGAUAAAUCUGUACGCUUAACGUACAGGCUGCCGGGAAUACUGCAGAGCUAGGGAGUGGGAGAGGUAGACGGUACUCGGGAGGAAGUGGUAAAAUGCUUUGAUCUCUCGAUGACCACCUGUGGCGAAGGCGGUCUACCAGAACACGUCCGACGGUGAGGGAUGAAAGCUGGGGGAGCAAACCGGAUUAGAAACCCUAGUAGUCC
rnacentral:rRNA from 1 species